GUUUGGGUAGCUCAGUUGGUAGAGUAAAGGACUGAAAAUCCUUGGGUCAUUGGUUCAAGCCCAAUCCCAAACA
rnacentral:tRNA from 1 species